rnacentral:lncRNA from 1 species
GGUUUCCUCCUGCCGCCGCCAUCUCCUUCCUCCCCCUCCAUCUCUUCCUCUCCUCCCCAGGUAAGCUUCCUGUAGGUAGCAGAGAGUACAGAGAAGGGAGAGUCGCCGGCGUCUACCCCCGCGUGCGUCGUCGGGCGGCACGGCCGCCAUGUCCGGGGGCUCGGGGCGGCUCCCCGCAUCCCAUUCCCGGCGUUAGGACCCCCGAGGAGCGACCCCCCCCC